GACGAACGCUGGCGGCGUGCUUAACACAUGCAAGUCGAACGAAGAGAGAUGGAAGCUUGCUUCUAUUAAUCUUAGUGGCGAACGGGUGAGUAACGCGUAAUCAACCUGCCCUUCAGAGGGGGACAACAGUUGGAAACGACUGCUAAUACCGCAUACGAUCUAACUUCGGCAUCGAGGUUAGAUGAAAGGUGGCCUCUAUUUAUAAGCUAUCGCUGAAGGAGGGGAUUGCGUCUGAUUAGCUAGUUGGAGGGGUAACGGCCCACCAAGGCGAUGAUCAGUAGCCGGUCUGAGAGGAUGAACGGCCACAUUGGGACUGAGACACGGCCCAGACUCCUACGGGAGGCAGCAGUGGGGAAUCUUCCGCAAUGGACGAAAGUCUGACGGAGCAACGCCGCGUGAGUGAUGACGGCCUUCGGGUUGUAAAGCUCUGUUAAUCGGGACGAAUGGUUCUUGUGCAAAUAGUGCGAGGAUU
rnacentral:rRNA from 1 species